GACAGCAGUCGCCGCGGGAAUACAGAGGGUGCGAGCGUUAAUCGGAUUUACUGGGCGUAAAGCGUGCGUAGGCGGCUUCUUAAGUCGGAUGUGAAAUCCCUGAGCUUAACUUAGGAAUUGCAUUCGAUACUGGGAAGCUAGAGUAUGGGAGAUGAUGGUAGAAUUCCAGGUGUAGCGGUGAAAUGCGUAGAGAUCUGGAGGAAUACCGAUGGCGAAGGCAGCCAUCUGGCCUAAUACUGACGCUGAGGUACGAAAGCAUGGGGAGCAAACAGGAUUAGAUACCCGGGUAGUCCCUGUCUCUUAUAC
rnacentral:rRNA from 1 species